rnacentral:lncRNA from 1 species
AGCCAGUUCCACGCCUGUGAAAUCUGAGUGAACAGCGGAGUUGGCAAGCAAGCGCCACCAUCUAGCGAAUGCAGAUUGAGUUCAUUCAUCCUUCAUCUUC